UACGGAGAGUGCAAGCGUUGUUCGGAAUCACUGGGCUUAAAGGGCGUGCAGGCGGAGCGCAGGGUGUUGGGUGAAAUCCCCGGGCUCAACCCGGGAACUGCCUAGCAAACCGGCGUUCUCGAGGCAGGCAGAGGUGACCGGAACAACUGGUGGAGCGGUGAAAUGCGUAGAUAUCAGUUGGAACGCCGGUGGCGAAAGCGGGUCACUGGGCCUGUCCUGACGAUGAGACGCGAAAGCGUGGGGAGCAAACAGG
rnacentral:rRNA from 1 species